UACGAAGGGGGCUAGCGUUGCUCGGAAUUACUGGGCGUAAAGCGCACGUAGGCGGCUUUCUAAGUCGGGGGUGAAAUCCUGGAGCUCAACUCCAGAACUGCCUUCGAUACUGGAGAGCUCGAGUCCGGGAGAGGUGAGUGGAACUGCGAGUGUAGAGGUGAAAUUCGUAGAUAUUCGCAAGAACACCAGUGGCGAAGGCGGCUCACUGGCCCGGUACUGACGCUGAGGAGCGAAAGCGUGGGGAGCGAACAGG
rnacentral:rRNA from 1 species